AAACGUUAAUUUCGUGCAGGCCUUCAGGGCCUCCUUUCUCAAAGCACUAAGGUUGUCUUAAGUCACUAAGGUAACCUUAGUGCAAAGUUAAAGAAUGGGAGUUAAGGUUAACCUUAGUAAAGGUUGCUUCGUGAAAGGAGCCC